GCCUAAUACAUGCAAGUCGAACGCAUUGUGGUUGAAAUGAUAUGAAGAACUUGUUCAGAUUUGAUUUUCAACAUUGCAAUGAGUGGCGAACGGGUGAGUAACACGUGGGAAACCUACCUCUUAGCAGGGGAUAACAUUUGGAAACAAAUGCUAAUACCGUAUAAUAAUUAAAACCGCAUGGUUUUAGUUUAAAAGAUGGUCUUGCUAUCACUAAGAGAUGGUCCCGCGGUGUAUUAGUUAGUUGGUGAGGUAAUGGCUCACCAAGACAAUGAUACAUAGCCGAGUUGAGAGACUGACCGGCCACAAUGGGACUGAGACACGGCCCAUACUCCUACGGGAGGCAGCAGUAGGGAAUCUUCCACAAUGGACGAAAGUCUGAUGGAGCAACGCCGCGUGUGUGAUGAAGGGUUUCGGCUCGUAAAACACUGUUGUAAGAGAGGAAUGACAUUGAGAGUAACUGUUCAAUGUGUGACGGUAUCUUACCAGAAAGGAACGGCUAAAUACGUG
rnacentral:rRNA from 1 species